rnacentral:rRNA from 1 species
AUGAAUCGGAGACUUAAUCUUGAUAUACCUCAGAACAAUAUAUUCUUGUUACCACGAGAUGUAUUGGCCGCUACAGAUCAUUUUAUUGGAAUGAAAUUUGGAACGGGUAUACUUGACGAUGACGAUAUGAAUCACUUCAAAAAUAAACGUAUUCGUUCGAUUGCGGAUCUGUUACAAGAUAAAUUUGGAUUGGCUCUUGGUCGUUUACAACAUGCAGUUCAAAAAACUAUUUGUAGAGUAUUCAUACGUCAAUCGAAACUGACCCCAAACUUUGGUAACUCCAACUUCAACUUCAAUUUUAUUAAUAACUACUUAUGA